rnacentral:rRNA from 1 species
AGAGUUUGAUCCUGGCUCAGGAUGAACGCUGGCGGUGUGGAUAAGGCAUGCAAGUCAAACGGCUCGCAAGAGCAGUGGCAGACGAGGUAGUAACACGUAGGUACAUCCCCUAAAGUCAGGGAUAACUAGCCGAAAGGUUAGCUAAUACUUGAUAGUCUCUUCGGAGUAAAGAUUUAUCGCUUUAGGACUGGCCUGCGGAGUAUCAGCUAGUUGGUAGGGUAACGGCCUACCAAGGCUAUGACGCUUAGAAGGAGUGAGAGCUUGGCCUUCACCGAUGGAACUGAGACACGGUCCAUACACCUACGGGUGGCAGUAGCCGAGAAUAUUCGACAAUGGGCGAAAGCCUGAUCGAGCGACACCGCGUGAUUGAUGAAGUCCCUCUGGGACGUAAAAAUCUUUUAUGAGCUACUAAGUUUAUUGAAGGGCUCAUGAAUAAGGGGUUGCUAAACUCGUGCCAGCAGCAGCGGUAAUACGAGUGCCCCAAGCGUUAUCCGGAAUCAUUGGGCGUAAAGGGUGUGUAGGUGGUUAUGUUAGUCUUUUGUUAAAGCCCGAGGCCCAACCUCGGAAAGGCAAAGGAUACGGCAUAACUAGAGGAUGUGAGGGGUCAGUGGAACUCAUGGAGUAGGGGUGAAAUCCGUUGAUAUCAUGGGGAACACCAAAAGCGAAGGCAACUGACUGGCGCAUUCCUGACACUGAAACACGAAAGCGUGGGUAGCGAAUGGGAUUAGAUACCCCAGUAGUCCACGCCCUAAACGUUCUUCUCUAGGUUUUCGGAGUAUCGACCCUCUGAGAGCCGUAGC